GUCAUCAUCAGCGGGACCCUCUUUAUCUUCUGGAAGGAGCUCUCCCUCUACUACUGAAGGCCAUCCUUCAGCCUUCCUUGUAGGAAAUGACAUUCACUCUGGGUUUAACUGGAGUGGCAUCACCUUCCUGGGAGACAGUUACUUCCUGGAGGAGGUGGUGUUUCCUCCACCCAUAGGUGCCCUGCCCCCAUCCUCAUGGUGGCAUGUGCUGGGGAGACCCUGGGGUAGCAGCCACUGACCUCACACCUGGAGGAAGCUGUGUGAUCGAUUCAUGAGCUUAU
rnacentral:sRNA from 1 species